UACGGAGGAUCCAAGCGUUAUCCGGAAUCAUUGGGUUUAAAGGGUCCGUAGGCGGUUUGAUAAGUCAGUGGUGAAAGCCCAUCGCUCAACGAUGGAACGGCCAUUGAUACUGUCAGACUUGAAUAACUGGGAAGUAACUAGAAUAUGUAGUGUAGCGGUGAAAUGCUUAGAUAUUACAUGGAAUACCAAUUGCGAAGGCAGGUUACUAUCAGUUUAUUGACGCUGAUGGACGAAAGCGUGGGGAGCGAAC
rnacentral:rRNA from 1 species